CCGCCCCAUCACCGUUGGUGAAGAAAAUCUCGAGGUUAUUGAACCCGGGAUCGAGGAUUAGAGCGAAUCUUUCAGGGUUCAUCGUUUAGACCAAGGUGAAAGGUGAAGCAGAUCAAGUGGUAGGACUUGGUAGUUGCAAGAGACACGAUGUUUUAGAUUUUUAUCUUUAUGAGUUCAGUAUUUU